GGAGAGCAACCUCGAGGAGGGGGAGCUGCUCUCUGCAACCUACGUUGUUUCUAUGGCAUAUACUUCAGGAAGCAUGCUGUUGGCAGACCUUACCAGCGAUCAGCUGCUGACAGAACGGCUCUGGCUUUGCUCCCUUUUCCUUCCCACUACAGACCCUUUCUACUUGUGGGAUGUGAUCAGGCCAGACCUGCAGACAUGUCGAUAGCAGUUUCUCCUGAUUCUAUUGUUAACUUUCAAUUUUUUUUUUGAGCCAAAUUGUUGGACUUUGGACCUAAUUAUUCACAAAACCAAAGGGGAGCCUCUGGGUUUUACAUCAAGCUGGGGCCAAAGCAGUGCAGUUCCACUGAAGAAGUCAUCCUGGUGUUUGUCUCCACUUGGGCUUGAAUGUUAAGUGUUGCCAGUGACGCUGCACCACGGACUCCAUGUGGAGCUCUGGGAUCUGCCUUGCGCACCACAUUUCAACAGUCAACUCGUGAUACCUAGUUACACCACAUUCCUCCUUUCUAUGGCCUUUGUGUAAACCCCCAAGCCAAGCAUUGAAAAAAAUGAGCUUAAAUUACCCAAAAUGAAAUUAUACUGAGCCA